UUACCUACGGGGGGCAGCAGUAGGGAAUUUUCGUCAAUGGGCGCAAGCCUGAACGAGCAAUGCCGCGUGAACGAGGAAGGUCUUCGGAUCGUAAAGUUCUGUUGAAGGGGAAAAAGAGCGGAGAGAGGAAAUGGUCUCCGAUUGAUAUUACCCUUCGAGGAAGUCACGGCUAACUACGUGCCAGCAGCCGCGGUAAUACGUAGGUGGCGAGCGUUAUCCGGAUUUAUUGGGUUUAAAGGGUGCGCAGGCGGCGUGUCAAGUCAGCGGUAAAAUGUCGGGGCUCAACCCCGGCCGGCCGUUGAAAC
rnacentral:rRNA from 1 species